GAUGAAGAACGUAGCGAAAUGCGAUACUUGGUGUGAAUUGCAGAAUCCCAUGAACCAUCGAGUCUUUGAACGCAAGUUGCGCCCGAAGCCAUUAGGCCGAGGGCACGCCUGCCUGGGCGUCACACGUCGUUGCCCCCCCAUCUACUCCUUCGGGAUUGCGGGGGGCGGAUGAUGGCCUCCCGUGCGCCUCGUCGCGCGGUUGGCAUAAAUGCCAAGUCCUCGGCGACACACGCCACGACAAUCGGUGGUUGCGAAACCUCGGUUGCCCGUCGUGUGCGGUCGUCGCGCAUCGAGGGCUCGAAAAAAUUGCCGGGCUCCGGCUCGGCUUUCAACGCGACCCCAGGUCAGGCGGGGUUACCCGCUGAAUUUAAGCAUAUCAAUAAGCGGAGGA
rnacentral:misc_RNA from 1 species